rnacentral:rRNA from 1 species
UACUACAACGAAGAGUUUGAUCCUGGCUCAGGAUGAACGCUAGCGGCACGCUUCAUACAUGCAAGUCGAGGGGCAGCAUAAAGUACUUGUACUUUGAUGGCGACCGGCGAACGGGUGCGUA